rfam:Calocera cornea HHB12733 unplaced genomic scaffold CALCOscaffold_15, whole genome shotgun sequence.
GGGGUGGGAGCACGGUGGUUGUGCUGUGGAUUGCAGAUCCAAUGGUCAUGAGUUCGAAUCUCGUUCACCCCU